AAAGAAAGAAACGAGUGAAAGAUUCAGGAUAAUCACUCGGACGCCUCCAUGGAUGAUACCAGCUCGCUUCCAACGACAAAUAUAAUUAACCUAAGCUAUGAUCGGUCAAUGUUUUUUUUAGUUUUCUUCUUUUUAAAAAAAAAAAAACAGAUCAUAAAGGGAAAAGACUUGCAAAGAAGUAGAAUUAAUGGAACGAACACAGCAAAGGAUCAAACUCAAGCAAUUAAAAGUAAUUGUCAAUGGUGACCAAUCUCU